rnacentral:rRNA from 1 species
UACCUGCAGUCGAGGGGUAUUGUUCUUCGGAAUGAGAGACCGGCGCACGGGUGCGUAACGCGUAUGCAAUCUACCUUUUACAGAGGGAUAGCCCAGAGAAAUUUGGAUUAAUACCUCAUAGUAUAUAGAGUUGGCAUCAACACUAUAUUAAAGUCACAACGGUAAAAGAUGAGCAUGCGUCCCAUUAGCUAGUUGGUAAGGUAACGGCUUACCAAGGCGACGAUGGGUAGGGGUCCUGAGAGGGAGAUCCCCCACACUGGUACUGAGACACGGACCAGACUCCUACGGGAGGCAGCAGUGAGGAAUAUUGGUCAAUGGGCGCAAGCCUGAACCAGCCAUGCCGCGUGCAGGAUGACGGUCCUAUGGAUUGUAAACUGCUUUUGUACGGGAAGAAACAGCGAUUCGUGAAUCGCCUUGACGGUACCGUAAGAAUAAGGAUCGGCUAACUCCGCGCCAGCAGCCGCGGUAAUACGGAGGAUCCAAGCGUUAUCCGGAAUCAUUGGGUUUAAAGGGUCCGUAGGCGGUUUGGUAAGUCAGUGGUGAAAGCCCAUCGCUCAACGGUGGAACGGCCAUUGAUACUGCCAGACUUGAAUUAUUAGGAAGUAACUAGAAUAUGUAGUGUAGCGGUGAAAUGCUUAGAGAUUACAUGGAAUACCAAUUGCGAAGGCAGGUUACUACUAAUGGAUUGACGCUGAUGGACGAAAGCGUGGGUAGCGAACAGGAUUAGAUACCCUGGUAGUCCACGCCGUANACGAUGGAUACUAGCUGUUGGGAGCGAUCUCAGUGGCUAAGUGAAAGUGAUAAGUAUCCCACCUGGGGAGUACGUUCGCAAGAAUGAAACUCAAAGGAAUUGACGGGGGCCCCGCACAAGCGUGGAGCAUGUGGUUUAAUUCGAUGAUACGCGAGGAACCUUACCAGGCUUAAAUGUAGAUUGACCGG